rnacentral:lncRNA from 1 species
AAUUUCCCAAGAAUAUGCAUUGCGCAUUGAAAAAUUUGUAUGCAUCCUUCUCUGAGUCGAAUUGCAUCCCUUUAAAUGGUUGAAAAACAAUUUCCUGCCCAAUCUUCCCAGCAUUCCCAAGUGCUAUCUCCAUCUGACUGCAUCUGUCUGAACUUGGUUUCCUGGAUGCAGCGCCCUGUCGAUUCCUACAUGUGAAGUCAUAAAGUUGAUUAUAAAUGUUUACAAGACAGAACAAUAUUUUUGAACCGAUUACAGGACAGAACAUAGUGAUGUGACAAUGAAACUUAGAAACCAUAGUACCGUUCUCUCCUUGUCCAUCCUUCAAUGUUCGCAUUGUUAAGAUCUUGUUCAUCCGAGAUAGGAGCAUCCUCACCCUUGCCUUCUCCCUGACCUGUCUCGCCUUGUAAUGUGGUGGCUUUAGUCUUGUCUUCGCCUUUUUGUCAUAGAUGUAAAGAUAAACCGUAUAUGACGAGCAUUCGAGUUUAUAUUAAAACACUACAUAUGUACAUAUUUGGUAGGGAAACGUAAUAAUUCCGC